CGACCUCAAGAUACAUAAAUAGUAAUAGCGAUAAUCCCUUCUAUCUCAGAUUCUUUCACAUUUCUUUAAAUCCCUCUCUCAUCCCCGAUCUCUCUUCUUUCCCUUCCCCUUUCUCUCCUCCUCUUUCUUCUUCCACACGGUCCAUGCCUUGUCGCUCUCCUCUUCGUCUCAAGGUUGAAGACGAUGAACUUAUAUUAUAGGGUACGAGUAUCUUCUCCGCCGAGAACCACCCAAUUCAUAUCCAUGGAUACGAUUUCUACAUCGUUGCAGAGGGCUUUGGGAAUUUCAAUCCGCAAACUGACACGGCUAAGUUCAAUCUUGUCGAUCCACUAAUGUGGAAUACUGUUGCAGUUCCAGUGAAUGGAUGGGCAGUGAUCCGAUUUGUUGUUGAUAAUCUAAUUAUGUUCUUAUUUGGAGUUUGGCUGAUGCAUUGUCACUUGGGCGUUCACAUCACCUGGGGAUUGGCUAUGGCCUUCCUGGUAGAGAAUGGAAUCGGGGAGUUGCAGUCUUUAGAGCGUCCUCCAGCUGAUCUUCCUCCUUGUUAAGAUAUUCAACGACAAACAGCUGAAAGUUGCUGGUGGUUGAUUUGUAUCUGUUAGAGACCGGGAUUUCUGUUUCUUGUCUUUUGUUAGGCUUAUUUGCUCUGUAUUGUUCGCCUCAUUUGGCGACCAUGUUCUUAUUUUGUUUUUCCUCUCUUAUUUCUUUUUCUUCCUUUCUUUUCCCUUUUACUAAUAUACAACGGGUGAUGUUGUCUUAGAACUAAAUUUUAAGUGCAAAGUUUAGUAAAGAAGCCGAAACAUUUGUA